CCGGCAGCUACUUCAGGUAGAGCCAGGUCUGCAGCGGGGUCACCGGCAGCGGCAGCUAUCUCAGGUGGAGCAAGGGCUGCAGCGGGGUCACCGGCAGCUACUGCAGGUGGAGCAAGGGCUCAGCUGCUGCUAUGCAUAACUGUAUAAGCCAUCAUAGCUUGAGAUAGCAACUCAAAUUGAACUUAUUAUACAGUAGAAGAAUACAGCCUAAAUGACAAUGAUACAAAAGAAGCUCCGCGUCACCCAAGCUAUAGUUUAAAAUACAACAAACAAUACAUUUGAUAACAGAGGAACUGUUGGUGUUGCUAUUUUGCAUCAAAUUGCAGGACGGCGUCUUUUGUAAGUAGUGCAGGAAUUGCCCCUCUCUCCAUCACCGUGAUUCCACCACAUACAUUGGCGAAAUAUAGCGCUUUUCGGAGAUUCUCUUUGUCCUGCCACAUAAAAUAAACCCAUCAGCUCCAAACAUAACAUUCACACAUUUUCUGAAACAACAACUAGAAUGUGUAAAAAUAUCUGCCUUACCUUGAGUAUACUUGGGUCAGAAGCUAAGCUGUACAGAAAUCCGCUAACAAAUGCGUCGCUAGCACCUGUUGUGUCAACUGGUUUAGCUUUGAAACCUGCAACUCUGCCCUUAAAAUCCUGAAUUGCACACAAAUUUGACAAUCACUAUUACACUGGUCACUGGCGUGAUAAGAUAACAUUGUGAAAUACUGAACCUAGAAGCAAACCUUGCUCAAGUCAAGUUUCAGAACGAAGAGCAAAAUAAAAUAUUGAAAUGAAGGAUUAUAACUGAGUUAACUGACUUUGGCAAGCUUACCUAGUUACCUUGGUGUAAUGUCUACAACCCUCUGACCCUUCGGUAACAAUUAGAAGCUCGAUAUGAGGGUGAAAAAGCUUAUUUAAUACAACAUCAUCAUCAUAAGGAUCAUCACCACAAGUCAAAAAGGUAUGCUCAUUUUUACUUGUUUUGAAAAUGUUCAAGUGGUCAUGUGGAACAAGAACCAAAAUAAAAUUUGGAUGCAUAUAUGUGAGUCUUAAAUUAGAAUAUGCAUUUGCUGCUUUCGGUAUAAUUUGCCGUAAAUACGAACUUUGAAUGUUUCUUAUAAUAUCGAGUUAACAAUAUUGCUUGUUCCUAUUAAAAACAUGACUGCUACAUUUGAUAAUAUUUAUGAUUGGAGUACAUAAACAUUUUUUGUCAUAUUUGUAAACAAAAUAAAAAGGGGUUUUUCAUUGAUGAUGAUAUUCAAUUGUUAAUAUGCUUUUGGUUAUCAAAUUGUUGUUUUCAGUUUUGACGAAUUUAUUUGAUUAAGAACUUGAUAUCGAUCACGAACCUUGUCGAUGUCUGUAACAUGGAUUCUCUCCUUGUUAUUUCACUAGUUUGAAAUUUUGAACAUAAAAUGAACCUUAUUAUUAUUAAUUUGGUUUAAAGGUGAAUAAUGUAUCACUAGUUUCCUACAAAUCAAGAAUGAUCUUAGUACCAUAAUCCCUGAAUGAUCUUAGUACCACAUUUGAAUGAUAUCAUAUGAGAAUGGUAUUGUAGUACCAUUUGUUUAUCUAUUGAUAUUGUAGUAUCAAUAAAGGUGGUAUCGUAGUACCAUAGAUUCCUAUAUUGAUAUCGUAGUAUCAAUUCGAGUGGUGUUGUAGCACCAUUCAUGAAGGUGUAAUUCUUGACCGAUUUCUACAGUGCAGUAGCUAAUCGGUAUACAGUUGUAACUGUGCUGUUUUAUCCUGGGGACUUCGUGGUUGAUAAUCUGCUUGCACAAUUUUGGACAGUGCCGCGAAACGUCUUAAAGAGAGCGACCUAGUCCGCGACUCAACAUAGUAAUAUCUUCGGUAUCUGAAAAAUCUUUCUUAAUCGGUUUUAACACCGGUAACAACAAAAACAAUUAUAAUCUUUAUCCAUUUUACAGGAAGCUUCCGAGGUGAGUAUGUCUCGAAAGGUCCACUAGGAUGUUCUCCGUUUAGGAUGUUCUCCACUCAGGAUAUCCACUCAGGAUGUUCUCCUCUACCCUUUGUGACACAGCUAUGCCACAUUGGUCACUGCUCACAUUAUUUACUUAAAGGAUUCCUAUUAAUGUGGGCAAUCCUACUAUAAUCGAGUUUAUACUAAAUGAUGGUUUGGGCGUUAACCACUAAUCUACUCGACUAUUCUAGUUCUUAGUGUUCUUAAUUUGACAACUCAUCUCGGGGAACUAAAUAGCUUAUGCUCUCACGAGUCGAUAUACGUUAACACUCAUUUAGACAAUUUAGGAUUUACUUAUGUUGUGCUAAGCACUUAGAGUUCACGGAUAGAUUAACGGUUAUAAAAACAGUCAACUCGAAAUGGUCACCACAAUAUAAACCAUAAUCGAAUAUGAUGUUAAAAUGUCUAAUCUAUGGGGAAUUUGCACAAGUCAUAAGCCUCUAAGUUAUCAUCAUUUCACCCUAAACAUUGAUGUUGAAAUGGUGUGGAAACAUGUUUAAUAUUUAAGGAUCAUUAUUGUACGAAUCGGGAGUCGUCCGGGACUUAAAACAACAAAAACAGUUCUUAAAUCCACUCUUAGCAAAGCCCCAUUGACCCCUAACUUAUACUUCAUGAAAUUAUGAUUAUUAAACACAUUCACAUCACUUAUAAGCAAUGGGGAAAGAAUUACUCAAACAUUUCAAAGGUACUAAUCUAACUAUAUCAUCAAUGUUAUUAACUUGUAAAAUAAAUAAAUUCCUAUGCUUUGGACAUAUGGUUGCCAUGUCUCUACUUAAACAAAUCCACCUGAAAUUGCAGUUGAACCGCACUAACGACGUCUCUGGAACUCGCCGAAAUGCAGAAUUUGUAGUUCGAGUACGUUUGAUCCGUAUCCAUAAUUUUCUUCAUAAAAUACUGCAUCAGACCCUCCAAUUAAAAAUUGUCUACAGACUUCAAUUGUUAUCCAAAAUUCACAAACCUGACACCCAAACGACCGAGAUUUCAUUAGCUUUCCAAAGAAUCAAGCGGCAUCUCAAUCCGAGUUAUAGGGAGAGAGCAGUUGCCUUUUUACUGAAGGCAUGUCCAAGAAUACGGGUUUCAGAACUCUUCCAAUUCCUCUUAAUUUCUUCAAGCUUUGUUCUUCAAUCUCAACCUCAAUCUUUGUUCUUAUGUUGAAAGCUCAGUUUAAAAUCAUUACCCAACUGAUAAUUGCUCACCUCAUCACAUGUAAGAGGGUCAAAACUAAGAAAUAACUACGGGGUUCAUUAAAGUGGAAAAAGAAGAGAAAUCUGAAUGCAUUAUUCUUACCUCUCUCUCUCACGAACAGAACAUCAACACCACCACAACUCCAAAAGCUUCUCUCUUUUCUAUCUUUCAACUCAUGCAUGCCUUAGAUUUAAGUUUCAAAACCCAAAACCACCAACACUAAUUAAUUUGCAUUUUUUAUUUCCUUUCUAAAGAGCCAAGAAUUAUCUCAUGAACAACUCCCUCACCUCUCUCGUCCCAUAUUGAUUUAUCUAGAAUAUCAAUAGGAGCAUGUCUAAAUGGAUCGGAAUACAUUAAAAUUGCGGAAUUAAAACUGAUCUAUUACACAAGUAGUCUGAAGGAAAUACCAGAUAUACAUGAUUUAUUUAAAAUUAUAAUUGUCACAAUGUAAUUGUUAACAUAUUUACAUUAGAGCCAUGGUAACUACUAAAUACAUGUACAUGUAGCAUAAUCCUAUACAAGUGUUUAUUUAGCUUGAAACAGGUGAUCAACGAGCAGAAUUCAAUAACCUCACUAAUCCGUCCAAUCCUCAGCUUCUUGAACGAUAAACCUGUUACCUAUAAUCAAUAAUUAUGGGGUGAGACUACUAAGCCUCAGUGGAUUUCUUACUACCCUCUAUUUGGUGUGCUAACACCGGAAUCCUGAAAAAUAGCUGAUCACUGAACUUAUAUCCAUUAAAGAAUAACAUAACAUAAAUAAGGUGUAUCACACAAAUAUUAUCUUGUUCAUUUUACAGGAAGCUUCUGAGGUGAGUAUGUCUCGAAAGGUCCACUAAGAAUGUACUCCUCUUAGGAUGUUCUACACUUAGGAUGUUCUCCACUACCCGUUGUGACAUAGCUAUGCCACGUUGGUCUUACUCACAUUAAUUACUUAACUCAACGGAUUCCAUAUUAAAGUACGAAAACUUUUCAUAGUAUAAAGCUAUACUAAUAAGUGGUUUGGGAAUUAACCACUGUUGAUCAACUAUUCUAAUUUCUUAGUGUUCUUAUUAACAACCCAUUCCGGGGGAAACUAAAUGGCAUAUGCUCUUAUGUGUUGUCACAUGUUAGAUCACAUUUAAACGAUUAAGGAUUUAUUUACAUCGUACUAAGCAUUUGGAAUUCACGGAUAAGUUAUUUGUUGUAAAAGAACUCCGUCAACUUGAUGUGAUCAUGAGUUGCCUAAGCAUGUGGAAAGAAACUUAAAAAAAAAUGCACUAAAAUAUUUUUGAUGAAGAUGCUUGGAGCCCAACUUGAAGCCCAAUUCACAUGAUUAGAAGCAUCAAUGGUUUGAUUUUGUAGUCUAAUAAUAUUGGACUAAAUAAAAAAGAAUUAAGUCCAAUUUUCUUAAUUUUUAUUGUAAUUUUCGUUUUUGGUAUUAGGAGGAUUUUUAGAUGACUUUUAGUUGCUCCCUAGGCUCUCUAGAUGCUUCCUAGUGGUGCACUAAGUCAUUAUAGUGGUUAGUGGGAAUUUUCUAAGAUCUAUCAUGAAUGUACUCCCUCCGGCCUCAUUUGUAAGCAAAAGUCAACAAUAAAAUUUGGCCUUAAAUAUAAGCAAAAGUUACUAAAAGUAACUUUAUUUAUUGCUAUUCUUACAAAAGUACCCCUAUUAAUUGUUAUACUUUUUAACAUGAUUGCAUAGUCCCAAUACAAAUUUAAUAUAUUAUAAAGGGCAAUUUAGUAAAAAUAACAACUUCUUUAAUAAGUGUGCAAAUGAACAUUUUUGCUUAAAAAUGAGGCCGGAGGGAGUAUAUGGUAGUGGACAAUAAAUCCUACUAUGUAGGAUAGACUAUAAAUAGGGAUAUCAUGUACUUUUCAAAACAACUUGAAGUUUAGUAAAAAUAUGAGAUUUGUUCUCUUUGGUUCUAUGAACCCUAUCUUUAGCUUAUCGGUUUUCCGUGGCGCUAUCCUUUGACUUAUCAACCGGGACUUUCAUAGUCGGUUGUGGCGUCCUCACGACUUAUCAAUCGGUUUUCCACCCCGAUUGUGGCGUCUUUCCACCACAUCCACCAUCUCAACUCUUGUUUUUUGUUCCGACCGCUCCGUGUUUCUCAUCAUUUGGUAAUCAGAGCUUACGUUCAAAUCUGGUGUUAUCUAUCCUUUUCAAUUUUGUUGUUGAUUUUAUUUUAUUGUACUUUUUCAUACCUUCAAAAAAAAAAGUUGAAAAAAAAAAUUUCAAAAAAAAAUGUUUGGAAAAAAAUUUGAUGAAGAAAUAGAACUCUUUCUCAAUGAUAUGGAGAAGUUGUUUCAUAGUGAGUUUAAAAAAAUUCAUGAAAGUUUUGACCGCAUCGAGAGGAAACUUGGAAGAAAUUAUGGAAAAAGAGAUAGAGAAAAGGAGAGAGAAGAUAGAAGAAUGAAAAGUGAGGAACAAAUAAAAAGUCAUUCGGCAAAUUUUGAUGUGUUGUUGAAUGAUCUCCUUAAAGCUCUAAAGAAGGAUAGAGAAAAAGAAAGAGAAUGGAGUAAGGAGAAAAUUGAAAGUGUGGCAAAAGAAAAAGAUAUUAUUGUGAAAGAAGGGGACAAUAAAAAAAAUCAUGAAGAAAAAGAAGAAUUAGAGGAGACGAGAAAUAAUGAGACAAUUGAGUUCAAGGAGAGGGAGACAAAAAUAAGUGCUAAGAAGUCAUGCCUACAAACUACACUAGUACCUUCUUCUAAGUUGGUUUGUAUUGUCAAAUGUUGGGAUUCUUCUAAUAUUAUUCAAUUGCCUAACAAUUUUUCUUUAUGUCAUGAAGGCAACCAGGUGAAUGAAGAAGAACUUUCUCAACGAGUGGAAAGAAAUUACGAUUUUUGGAAAUAUGAUUAUAUCCAUGAAUCACAAGGGAAAGGAAAACACACAUUUCUUGCUAAUCAAAUUGAAAAGUUCUCUAAAGUAGAAGUUGUUACAUGUCAUGGAUUCUUUAGAUUCAUUUUUGAUCCAGGAGGUAUUGAAGCUAUAAAUUCGAGGUCGAAUUCUCUCUAAGAGGGAGAGAAUGAUGUGAUCAUGAGUUGCCUAAGCAUGUGGAAAGAAACUUAAAAAAAAAUGCACUAAAAUAUUUUUGAUGAAGAUGCUUGGAGCCCAACUUGAAGCCCAAUUCACAUGAUUAGAAGCAUCAAUGGUUUGAUUUUGUAGUCUAAUAAUAUUGGACUAAAUAAAAAACAAUUAAGUCCAAUUUUCUUAAUUUUUAUUGUAAUUUUUGUUUUUGGUAUUAGGAGGAUUUUUAGAUGACUUUUAGUUGCUCCCUAGGCUCUCUAGAUGCUUCCUAGUGGUGCACUAAGUCAUUAUAGUGGUUAGUGGGAAUUUUCUAAGAUCUAUCAUGAAUGUAUAUGGUAGUGGACAAUAAAUCCUACUAUGUAGGAUAGACUAUAAAUAGGGAUAUAAUGUACUUUUCAAAACAACUUGAAGUUUAGUAAAAAUAUGAGAUUUGUUCU